AGAGUUUGAUCCUGGCUCAGAACGAACGCUGGCGGCGUGCCUAACACAUGCAAGUCGAACGGAGUGAAGGAGCUUGCUCUUUCAUUUAGUGGCGCACGGGUGAGUAACGCGUAGAUAAUCUGCCUUGGACUCUGGGAUAACAUCUCGAAAGGGGUGCUAAUACCGGAUAAGCCCACGAUGGCGUAAGUCAUUGCGGGAAAAGGGGGCCUCUGAAUAUGCUCCUGAUUCAAGAUGAGUCUGCGUACCAUUAGCUAGUUGGUAGGGUAAGAGCCUACCAAGGCGACGAUGGUUAGCUGGUCUGAGAGGAUGAUCAGCCACACUGGAACUGAGACACGGUCCAGACUCCUACGGGAGGCAGCAGUGGGGAAUUUUGCGCAAUGGGGGAAACCCUGACGCAGCAACGCCGCGUGAGUGAUGAAGGCUUUCGGGUCGUAAAGCUC
rnacentral:rRNA from 1 species